GCCCGGGUGGCUCAGUCGGUUGAGCGUCCGACUUCGGCUCAGGUCAUGAUCUCGCGGUCCGUGGGUUCGAGCCCCGUGUCGGGCU
rnacentral:tRNA from 1 species